UGGGGAAUAUUGGACAAUGGGCGAAAGCCUGAUCCAGCCAUGCCGCGUGUGUGAAGAAGGUCUUCGGAUUGUAAAGCACUUUAAGUUGGGAGGAAGGGCAGUAAGUUAAUACCUUGCUGUUUUGACGUUACCAACAGAAUAAGCACCGGCUAACUUCGUGCCAGCAGCCGCGGUAAUACGAAGGGUGCAAGCGUUAAUCGGAAUUACUGGGCGUAAAGCGCGCGUAGGUGGUUUUGUAAGUUGGAAGUGAAAUCCCCGGGCUCAACCUGGGAACUGCCUCCAAAACUGCAUGACUAGAGUACGGUAGAGGGUAGUGGAAUUUCCUGUGUAGCGGUGAAAUGCGUAGAUAUAGGAAGGAACACCAGUGGCGAAGGCGACCACCUGGACUGAUACUGACACUCAUGUGCAAAAGCGUGGGGAGCAAACAGGAUUAUAUACCCUGGUAGUCCACGCCCUAAACGAUGUCAACUAGCCGUUGGGUACCUUGAGUACCUUUAGUGGCGCACCUAACGCAUUAAGUUGACCGCCUGGGGAGAACGGCCGCAAGGUUA
rnacentral:rRNA from 1 species